rnacentral:rRNA from 1 species
GACGUAGGGCGCAAGCGUUGUCCGGAUUUAUUGGGCGUAAAGAGCUCGUAGGCGGCUUGUUGCGUCGACCGUGAAAACCCGUGGCUCAACUGCGGGCUUGCGGUCGAUACGGGCGGGCUAGAGUUCGGUAGGGGAGACUGGAAUUCCUGGUGUGAGCGGUGAAAUGCGCAGAUAUCAGGAGGAACACCGGUGGCGAAGGCGGGUCUCUGGGCCGAUACUGACGCUGAGGAGCGAAAGCGUGGGGAGCGAACAGG